UUUUGAUAGGUGCAAUUUUCGGCCCAAACUUCCCUUAGCCCACAAUUAAUUCAUAUUCCUAUACAAAUACCUAAUACAAGAAAAACAAAGGAGGAGGAACCUUAGAGCUCGAGGAAAGCUGCGCCUCAGCUUCUUUCUCUAAGAACAAAAAUGCAGCAGCUGUUGCCUUUCUUCUUCCGCCAAACACACUCCAUCACAACCAAAACUUCAACUCCAAAAGCCAUGAAAUUCCAGCCAAAAAUUCCAGGAAAGUAUGUUGAAAAUCAGUCCAAACAAGCAACAAAAACGCAGCUGAAAUUCCCAUAAAAACAGCUCCAAGGAGUGACCAAAAACACCUGCUAAAAACCUCCCAAAAAUCAGGUCACAUCUAGCUUUAAAACUCCCUGAAAUAAGCUGAAAUUCCAGCUCAAAAUUAGCUGAAGAACAGCCCUUCGAAAUCAGCAAAUCAGCUACGAAAAUGACUCCAAAACACAACCAUGAAACUCCUCAAAAUCCCACUUGAAACCAACGUGAAAAUCAGCCAACAGGCGGCUGAAAAUCAGCGGCAAAAUUGCUGAAAAAACCAGUCCAGCAACGUCGGGAAAGCACUUACAAAUUUGGUCUGUCGAGGACUUCCGUUCGCGGUUUCCGGAUGAGGUCCCAAAUUGAUUCGUGUUCCAAUUUUAUGGCUCUACACCAGCUACUUUGAGAUUUUGGAUGGUGACGUUGCAGUGUAUGGCGGAAGUUGGCAUUGAAGACGUACCUGUAUUCCGGUUGUAGCUGCCUCUUAUUCUUGGUAGCUUUAAAUUUAUUAAUUUGUUCAUGUACAUUUCGAACAGAUGAUGUAUUUACUUCGUACCGGCUUUCUAAACUCUAAGUCUUAGAAGCUCAUGAUUUGUACUUCUUGUCCUUAUAAAGUUCUAUAAAGUCUAGUUAUUUCAUCA